AUUAUUUCUCAAGGAAGCACAAAAUACUUAAUUGGAUUCUUCGCCAUCCACAUUUCUUGGAAUGAAGUCGCUUAACUGUGGAGAAAGGUGAUCGGCAUCUAUUUCCAACUCCUCAAUCAAGCCCAUUGGAGACGGGGAUCGAUCUAGAAAAGGAGGUUGUGCUCGCAUCGUCCUGAAAAUCAAUGGGACUCUCCUCUGCCUCUUCUUCACUUUCAUGUGCAAGAUCCUUCGACUCCUCCACAUUGUUCGGAUGGGUAUCGUGAUCGUCGAUGAUGAUCUCGGGGAAGCUAAGAAUAUUUUCAUUCUUGACUGAACUAUUGGCUUCAAACUGAACUUCCAAUGAUGGUUCACUUGGUGCAAGCUCUAUCAAGACCUCCUCUUCGUGACAAAUCCAGGUGGCAGAAGAAACCCAUAUCCAUGUGCUGGAAUCGGAUCCAUUCCCCUCCACUUGUUGCCAGAAUGAUAAUUGAUUGUUUAAAUUCAUUUUGUCAGGAAAAUGAAUCACACACAGGACCACUUCUUAAGAUUAGAAUGACGUUUGAAGUAAAUGUCACAUAACGAAUAUGCGAAUUUAUGUACUUUUACAUUAGGAUUUUUAGUUUUGAUUAUCCGCCAUGGAAAAGUUUCGAGAGCAUGGGGUCUUACUCUUGAGUAAUCAUUACACUUGCGAGCUGACCACUGCAUCAAGCAUUUAUGCAAGACGUUGACAAUUUAAUGUAGAUGUUCUUCCAUUUGACCAAGAUGGGACUCCACUUGUCUAUAGUAGUAACGGUAGUAACCUUUCAUACUCUUUCUGCAUGAAACUCCCCAAUCAACAAUCUGUUACUUAAGUUGCCUUAAAGUUCGCAGAAGAUUGAGUUCAAUCUCAUUUGGCAUUUUCCUGAUUCCCCUAGUCAGUGUUAUUCGAUUUUAACGUUUUGUACAUGAAUAAACAUGAUUGUAAUCAUA